rnacentral:rRNA from 1 species
AUACAACUUUCAGCAACGGAUCUCUUGGCUCYCGCAUCGAUGAAGAACGCAGCGAAAUGCGAUAAGUAAUGUGAAUUGCAGAAUUCAGUGAAUCAUCGAAUCUUUGAACGCACCYUGCGCUCCUUGGUAUUCCGAGGAGCAUGCCUGUUUGAGUGUCAUUAAAUUCUCAAC